GCAGGCUGUGGUUGCCGGCUUUUCUGCGCCCACGGCCGGGAGCUGAGGUCCGCGGGGAGGGGAGGACGGGAACUAGCAGGGCUGGGUGAUGGCGCGACCGAUGUGACCGGAGAGCGCAGGAGCCGUCUCGGGCCUCGGCUUGAAACCCUCCGAGGCCCGUGGCCUGCAGAAGGGCCCCCUCCGAGGACAAGUGAGUGAAUUUUGGAAGGUGAGAAAUCACCUUCAUUCCCCACCAGAAAAAAAUUAAACCAAUGCUGUGGACUCUCGCAGUGAUUUACUUCUGAGAGAAACCUUCAAAUAUGAGCACAAGGCCCGUGUAUUCUGGCUGUGGGAGAAACAGAACCAAGAAGUGGUCACUAGCUUGGAGAAGUUCACGUAGAAUGGCACCCCAGACUUGCAAGGUGGCUUAUCUGUGUGACUUCUCAUUCAGCCUCUCUUCGUCUAAUUCCUGUACUCCAGCAAGAUCCUGAGAAGCUGCUGCUGCCAACCUGUAUGCCACAGCCACACUAUUGCAAAUGGGGUUUUACUUUUUGCCCCAAAAGAUGUGUAAGGUAUAUUUUAAUUAAGAAAUACGUUUGUUGGUUUCUUCUACAAUAUUCACCACCAGGCAUCAUCUCAGCCUCUUCCCUCUUGUAAGGCUGCCUGAGUCAUCCUGAUAGCUUUUGGCAGCUUUUCCUAGUGUGUUGGGGUUUGGGAAUUCAGUUGUCUUCUAGUUCACAGAAAAUGGACUAUAUAUUUUUAUUUUUCAGUUUCCUUACUGGUUUUGGGCAAUUUCACAGGAGAGAAAGGGGAGAAUGCCUCCAUCUGUUGCUAGGAAACUUUUUUAUUCUCUUGAAAUUUUUCAUAUUCUUAAAUCAAGUUGCUUACCUACUUUGGUUAAGUUCUGUGUCAUCAUUUAUAAGGGCUAUAAUCACCCACUGUAUGUGUAUCGACUUCAUAGGGGUAUGUGUCAGAAUCUGUUUUACCUGUUGGGGCGGCAGCAGCAGAAUAAAGCGAAGUCUUUGUCCUUACAAAAUGAUACAAGAGAUGUGGCUUGGUCCAGAAUAGCAGAACUGGAAGUAAUCAAAAGUGCUGAGUGAAUUUGUUGAUGGACUAAUAUGAGGAUAAGGGGGGAAAAAAAAGAGGUAAAGAUAACACCAAUAUUUUUGGCAUGAGAAAUCACCAGGAUAGUUAUUAAACAUUAUAAAAUUUCAAAAUACCUGGGAAAAGGGAAGAUCCAAGUACCUUCUCAAGAAGAAAAAAAAGAUUAUGUGCCAAGAAUAAAAAUCAUAAGGGCCUUGAAUUUCUAAACAGAAACACCAAAAACUAAAAACAAUAGAGCAACAUCUAUUUUUAGUUUUACAAACUAAAAUUCUAUGUCCAAACUAUCAAUCCAGGGGUAAGGGUAGAAUUUGCCUUAUGAACUCUUUCUCAGGAAGCUACUCGAAGAUGGGUUCUACCAAAAGGAGGCAGGGAAACAAGAAAGAGGAAGACAUAAAAGUCAGGAAAUGGGACAGAAAAAGAGAAGUCCCAAAAUGACAGCUGUGUCGUUCAGACUGGAAAACGCUAGAGAAAUCCAGGAGAGAGGUCUCCAAGAAAUUAAAAUAGACUAUUUGACUUGUUUGCAUGUUCUGAGAGGAGACAUAGACUUGCAGUGGAGCCUUUGGGCCAUAUUAGUGGUACAUACAGAGAAAGCUAAGUAGUUGAAAAACAAAUUAAUUAUUAACUCUAAGGAAAACAAAAAGUCCAGUACAAGAAAGGAGAUGAGUAAUAUUCAAUAGUCAUAAUAAUGUUGAAGCUAUAGAUUUAACAUAAGAUCAUGACAUAUAACUAAAUUUAACAUAAAAUCAUGACAUAUAACUAAAUUGGAACAAAAGGGGAAGGUGUGUGUGUGUGUGUGUGUGUGUGUGUGUGUAGGCAUGCAAAAAGGUUUAGGAGAAGAGCAUUCUCACCUCUCACCUUCUGUGUAGUAAGUUAAUGAGGCUGCUUGGUUUUAAUAUAAGCCUUGCACAGCUAUUGACUUAAAACAGGUACAUAUUUAACUUCGGUAAUGGAACAUAAUAUAUAUAUAUAUUUUUAAAGAUUUUAUUUAUUUGAGAGAGAGA